GCACGGAUGGGCAGAAGCCUUUGCAGGUAUCAGAAGUUCACAUAUCAAAUAUAUCUGCCCGCAUGCGCCUGUUAGGCCUGUUACAUUAAAUAUGAACGUGGCUAUGCCUUCAUGUAAAAGCUUUGAUUGAUCAAGAAGUGAAGAAUGGCAUUCCUUCUAACAGAAUUAUUUUGGGAGGGUUUUCUCAGGGAGGAGCUUUAUCUUUAUAUACUGCCCUUACCACACAGCAGAAACUGGCAGGUGUCACUGCACUCAGUUGCUGGCUUCCACUUCGGGCUUCCUUUCCACAGUGCCACGGGGAUUGUGACCCUUUGGUUCCCCUGAUGUUUGGUUCUCUUACGGUGGAAAAACUAAAAACAUUGGUGAAUCCAGCCAAUGUGACCUUUAAAACCUAUGAAGGUAUGAUGCACAGUUCGUGUCAACAGGAAAUGAUGGAUGUCAAGCAAUUCAUUGAUAAACUCCUACCUCCAAUUGAUUGACGUCACUAAGAGGCCUUGUGUAGAAGUACACCAGCAUCAUUGUAGUAGAGUGUAAACCUUUUCCCAUGCCCAGUCUUCAAAUUUCUAAUGUUUUGCAGUGUUAAAAUGUUUUGCAAAUACAUGCCAAUAACACAGAUCAAAUAAUAUCUCCUCAUGAGAAAUUUAUGAUCUUUUAAGUUUCUAUACAUGUAUUCUUAUAAGACGACCCAGGAUCUACUAUAUUAGAAUAGAUGAAGCAGGUAGCUUCUUUUUUCUCAAAUGUAAUUCAGCAAAAUAAUACAGUACUGCCACCAGAUUUUUUAUUACAUCAUUUGAAAAUUAGCAGUAUGCUUAAUGAAAAUUUGUUCAGGUAUAAAUGAGCAGUUAAGAUAUAAACAAUUUAUGCAUGCUGUGACUUAGUCUAUGGAUUUAUUCCAAAAUUGCUUAGUCACCAUGCAGUGUCUGUAUUUUUAUAUAUGUGUUCAUAUAUACAUAAUGAUUAUAAUACAUAAUAAGAAUGAGGUGGUAUUACAUUAUUCCUAAUAAUAGGGAUAAUGCUGUUUAUUGUCAAGAAAAAGUAAAAUCGUUCUCUUCAAUUAAUGGCCCUUUUAUUUUGGGACCAGGCUUUUAUUUUCCCUGAUAUUAUUUCUAUUUAAUACUCUUUUCUCUC
rnacentral:lncRNA from 10 species